rfam:Pantoea sp. At-9b, complete genome.
CUUUAACAAUCCGGAACAAGCUGAAAAUUUGAAACGACACGUUGUUUCAUUUCUCCGUAAUAAGAAAUGAAAGCGAUGUGUUCGAGUCUCUCAAAUGCUUGCAGUCUGCAUGCGUGAAAACGUCUGUGG